GACGAACGCUGGCGGCGUGCCUAAUACAUGCAAGUAGAACGCUGAAGGAGGAGCUUGCUUCUCUGGAUGAGUUGCGAACGGGUGAGUAACGCGUAGGUAACCUGCCUGUUAGCGGGGGAUAACUAUUGGAAACGAUAGCUAAUACCGCAUAAGAGUAGAUGUUGCAUGACAUUUACUUAAAAGGUGCAAUUGCAUCACUACCAGAUGGACCUGCAUUGUAUUAGCUAGUUGGUGAGGUAACGGCUCACCAAGGCAACGAUACAUAGCCGACCUGAGAGGGUGAUAGGCCAAACUGGGACUGAGACACGGCCCAGAAUACUACGGGAGGGAGCAGGAGGGAAUCUUCGGCAAUGGACGGAAGGCUGAACGAGCAAAGCCGCGGGAGGGAAGAAGGGUGUCGGAUCGGAAAGAUCUGUUGUAAGAGAAGAACGAGUGGGAGAGUGGAAAGUGCACACUGUGACGGUAUCUAACCAGAAAGGGACGGCUAACUACGUG
rnacentral:rRNA from 1 species